rnacentral:rRNA from 1 species
UCAAGUGACUAAGUGUAUGUGGUGGAUGCCUUGGCGAUCACAGGCGAUGAAGGACGUAGUAGCUUGCGAUAAGCUGCGGGGAGCCGGCAAACGGGCUUUGAUCCGCAGAUUUCCGAAUGGGGGAACCCACCGGCUUUGCCGGUAUCGCACACUGAAUACAUAGGUGUGCGAGGCGAACGAAGCGAACUGAAACAUCUAAGUAGCUUCAGGAAAAGAAAUCAACCGAGAUUGCGAAAGUAGCGGCGAGCGAAAUCGCAGCAGCCCAGUGCUCCGAUAACACAAUUGACAGCGGAAAGGUCUGGAAAGGCCUGCUACAGAGGGUGAUAGCCCCGUACGUGAAAUCAAGAGUGUGGUACUAAGGAGCCGAUAAGUAGGGCGGGACACGUGACAUCCUGUCUGAAGAUGGGGGGACCAUCCUCCAAGGCUAAAUACUCGUGAUCGACCGAUAGUGAACCAGUACUGUGAAGGAAAGGCGAAAAGAACCCCGGGAGGGGAGUGAAACAGAACCUGAAACCGCAUACAUACAAACAGUAGGAGCUCCUUUUGUGGAGUGACUGCGUACCUUUUGCAUAAUGGGUCAGCGACUUACGUUUUGCGGCAAGCUUAACCGAGUAGGGGAGGCGCAGCGAAAGCGAGUUCGAACAGAGCGACAAGUCACAAGGCGUAGACCCGAAACCAGAUGAGCUAUCCAUGGCCAGGUUGAAGGUGUGGUAACACACACUGGAGGACCGAACCGACUAGUGUUGCAAAAUUAGCGGAUGAGCUGUGGAUAGGGGUGAAAGGCUUAACAAAUCUGGAGAUAGCUGGUUCUCCCCGAAAACUAUUGAGGUAGUGCCUCGUGUAUUGCUCCAGGGGGUAGAGCACUGUUAUGGCUAGGGGGACAUGGCGUCUUACCAAACCAUGGCAAACUCCGAAUACUUGGAAGUAUGAGCACGGGAGACAGAGCACCGGGUGCUAACGUCCGGACUCAAGAGGGAAACAACCCAGACCGCCGUUUAAGGUCCCUAAUAUUGACUAAGUGGAAAACGAAGUGUGAAGGCUAAGACAGUCAGGAAGUUGGCUUAGAAGCAGCCAUCCUUCAAAGAAAGCGUAAUAGCUCACUGAUCGAGUCCUCAUGCGCGGAAGAUGUAACGGGGCUAAGUCAAUAACCGAAAGCGCGGAUUUGCACGUAAGUGCAAGUGGUAGGGGAGCGUUCUGUAAGCCUGCGAAGGUGGUUCGAGAGGACUGCUGGAGGUAUCAGAAGUGCGAAUGCUGACAUGAGUAACGUUAAAGCGGGUGAAAAGCCCGCUCGCCGUAAGCCCAAGGUUUCCUGCUCUACGUUCAUCGGAGCAGGGUGAGUCGGCCCCUAAGGCCAGGCUGAGAAGCGUAGUCGAUGGGAAGCAGAUUAAUAUUUCUGCACCAUGUACAAGUGCGAUGAGGGGACGGAGCGUGAAUGAUCGGCCGGGUGUUGGAUGUCCCGGUUUGUGCGUGUAGAAGGCCGAUUGGCAAAUCCGUCGGCAAAUCUUCGAGACAAAGCAUCGAGGUUCUACGGAACCGAAGCGAUCGGAAGUGCUUCCAGGAAAAGCCUCUAAGCUUCAGCUUGUACGUGACCGUACCGUAAACCGACACUGGUGGGCGAGUUGAAUAUACUCAGGCGCUUGAGAGAACUCGGGAGAAGGAACUCGGCAAAUUGACACCGUAACUUCGGGAUAAGGUGUGCCUUUGUAGUGUGAAGAGAGAAACACUCCGAGCAUGAAGAGGCCUCAGAGAAUCGGUGGCUGCAACUGUUUAUUAAAAACACAGCACUCUGCAAAGACGAAAGUCGACGUAUAGGGUGUGAUGCCUGCCCGGUGCUGGAAGAUUAAGUGAUGGGGUGAGAGCUCCUGAUCGAAGUCCCAGUAAACGGCGGCCGUAACUAUAACGGUCCUAAGGUAGCGAAAUUCCUUGUC